rnacentral:rRNA from 1 species
UACGAAGGGGGGCUAGCGUUGCUCGGAAUUACUGGGCGUAAAGGGCGCGUAGGCGGACAGUUAAGUCAGAGGUGAAAGCCCCGGGCUCAACCUGGGAAUGGCGAUGGAUACUGGCUCGCUGAGAGUGCGGUAGAGGAGAGUGGAAUUCCCGGUGUAGCAGUGAAAUGCGUAGAGAUCCGGAAGAACACCCGUGGCGAAGGCGGCUCUCGUGGGACGGUACUGACGCUGAGACGCGAAAGCGUGGGGAGCGAACAGGAUUGAGAUACCCCACGU